rnacentral:misc_RNA from 1 species
AAAGUCCGCGCUCCUCUAUGACGCCAUGUUGUAAACUUAGAAUGUGAUAUCAUCCACGAGUAUUUCUUGUAUUAUCCAGAGUAAACUCGAUCACAACAAUGAAAAUCUAUAUAUAGUGAGUUUUUAAUUCAGGAGUAACAAAGAAAGAAAAAUGUUUGGUGCAAAACCAACAGGAUUUUCUUUUGGAUCUGGCAAUGCUACAUUUGGUGCAAGUUCUACAACCCCUUUUGGAGCAGGGAACACAUCAACAUUUGGAACUGCAGGCAAUAAAACAUUUGGAGGAACGCCAGCAUUUGGUUCCCAGACCCCAAACACAGGAGGCACCAGCUUAUUUGGUCAGCAGAGCACGUCUCAGACAGCAGGCUUGUUUGGCCAGCAGAGCACAGGAGGGGCCUUUGGCAGCACCCAGUCAUCAGGGUUUACAUUUGGUGCUACACCUGCCCCCAACCCUGGAGGCAGUAUGUUUGGUCAGCAGAGCACGGCACAGACAACAGGGGGGUUGUUUGCCUCACCUGUGUCCAGCACAAGUUUUGGAGCCAAAACUCCAGGAUUUGGAGGAUUUGGUACGAACACUUCAGCAUCUGCAGGAUUGUUUGGAGGAAGUCAACAAACAUCAACUCUUUUUGGUAACCCAGGUGCUAGUGCAGGUUUUGUUCAGACAGCUCCAAAUGGAACGACUGUCAAGUUCAACCCUCCCACCAGCCAAGAUACAAUGGUCAAGAAUGGAGUCAGCACAAACAUCAAUACACGGCAUCAGUGCAUCACCGCAAUGAAAGAGUACCAAAGCAAAAGUCUAGAGGAGCUCCGAGUGGAAGACUAUUUGUCAAAUCGCAAAGGGAAACAGGCUACUACUGGGUUUGCAACCCCGUCAGCUUCUGGAACAUUUAAUCCAACUCCAGCCUCAACUGGUACAUCUUUGUUUGGACAACAGCAACAGCCACAACAGCCACAACAACAAAGUACAAGUUUAUUUGGACAAAGCAAACCUUUGUUUGGAGCUUCAACUGCCACCGGAACAUCGGGCUUCUCUGGCUUUGGCACCACAACAUCAACUCCAAGUUUGUUUGGCCAACCAACUCAAAAUAAGCCUCUCUUUGGUUCUACACCAACUACCCAGGCUGCAGGCUUUGGGGGAACAAGUGCAGGAUUUGGGGGAUUUGGUGGCUUUGGAAGUACUAGCACUGCAGGUUCAAGUCUGUUUAACUCAAAGCCAGCAUUUGGAACCACCACCACUGCGGCCAGUGGUUUUGGAGCACCUGCCAACAAUUUGUUUGCUAAACCAACCACAGGACCCACCCUCUUUGGAAGCACAUCCCAGCCCACCAGCUUUGGAACGACCAGUGGAUUUUCCUUUGGAAGUACUGCUGGAAUAGGAGGAACCAGCACAGGAGGGUUUGGAGCUAAGCCUCCACCAUUUGGAGGCACCAGUACCUUUAACUUAGGCCAGACUUCUGGGUUUAGCCUCAGUAAACCAUUUGGUGCCAGUACAGGAAUCGGCACAGGAUUUGGACCAGGCUUUGGUAUGAGUACAAGUUUGUCUCAAGGUGGCGCUUCAACAACCUUAAGCUCAGCUGCCCCUCAAGCAGCAGCAGUUCCCAAUGAGAUUCAAAUCAAACAGCAGUUGAUGGCUCUGGCUAGCUCCCCAUACAGUGAUUCCCCAUUGUUUUGGAAUCUGAAGCCAAGUGACAAGAAAAGGGAAGAAAUCUUGAAACCGACAAACCCCUUGGCCCAGAAAGCUGUUCUGUCCAAUCAGUAUAAAGUCAGCUCCAGACCCACAGCCAAAAUGAAACCCAAAUCAUUGCACAACAUGCUCAAUGGCUCAAAGAACCACAUUUUUGAGGGCUUGGAAGAUGAUGACUUUAGUGGUGGAAAUGAAAGCUUCAUGCCAAAGAAGAGCAUCAAGAAGCUGGUGAUCCGAAAAGGUAGCUCCAACUCCAGUUCACCUAGCCGUGCCUCAUCAGUGUUGGGAGAGUCAGAGAAUCACAGCGUUAAUGAAGCUGACCUCACACAGAAUGGGAACUCAUUCUUGCAUGACAGACUAGAGAAAGAGCAGAGAAUUCCUGAGGUCCACAUUCCAUCAAAACCUAUGUCAGAAAACUUUGACGACACAAUAUCGCAAUUGAAUGUUCAUAAACGAGUUCCUAUAACAUCUAAAUCUCCGGAUGACACGGAUCUCAGUCUGAAUCAAACAGUAGAUGAAAGCGUCGAGAGACCUACCACACCUCCACCACCUAACUUGGCAGGUAUAGUCCUGACUCGUCCUGGGUACUACACAAUACCCUCAGUGGAGGAGCUUUGUGAGCUAGUGGAUGAGAAUGGAGACUGUUUUGUGGAUGGCUUUACUGUGGGGAGGGAGGGAUACGGAAGCAUAUUCUUCCCCGGACAGAUCAAUGUAGCCAACCUCAAUCUGGAUGAAAUUGUGCAUAUUCGACGUAAGGAGGUCAUCGUGUACCCAGAUGAUGAUAACAAGCCGCCCGAGGGUGAGGAUUUGAACAGGAAGGCAGAGAUCACCCUAGACUGUGUGUGGCCCACAGAUAAAACAACUCGAUCCUACAUUAAGGAUCCAGAGAGAUUAAAGACCUUAGGAUACCAUGAGAAAAUGGAAGAAAUUACAGCUCGUAUUGGUGGCAGGUUCUUGGACUAUCGACCAGAAACUGGCUCAUGGGUGUUUGAGGUGAAACAUUUUACAAAGUAUGGUUUGGAGGAGAGUGAUGAGGAAGACUUGUCUGCCCUUGCUCAAAUGAAGGCAACGAGUCAGGUUAGUACCUCCUCAUACUAAAGAGUUCACCCCACAGGACCAGUGGAUCCACCCACAAUGGAUGGUUAUCUCUGGAUCUCAGGGGGAAAUAUUUUAAUGGACAGAAAUUUGAAAGUCUUUCUGUGUUUUGUGAAUAAAAACUGUUGAACUUCUAUAUAUUUGUAAAUAAAUAUCAUGUGAUUGAGUUUAUGCUGCAAAGGUCACGAAACAUGUAUUAACAUUGUGACACAUUUGAAAAUAUUUUGCAAUUUUUUCAUAAUUUAUUGAGUAAACUGUCGAUUAUAAUUGUUGUUAUGUACAUUUAUUGUAAAUAUUUUGACUGAUAUCAGAGGGCAGUAUUGUUGGUUUAAAAAUGUUAUAAUUUCAUAGUUGUCAUUGAUGCUGUUAAAUCAUUAUAAGCACCACUAUAUAAAACAUUAUGAUUCAUACUGUAAUGUACAUGCAUGCUACUGUAUGCCACUUGCUUUGAUGUGAUUUAUUAUUCAGUUUUGUAAAUGUUUUUAACUGACUGCAUCAGUCUUUGUCAAUGAAUAUAAUUGAUGCAAUAAGAAGAUUGUAAUAAAAAUCUUGUAUAUUUUACUGAGUUUUAAUGAUAAUGUCUUUCACUGGGUUUUUUUUUCACUGCUUGUGAGAUUUACUUGUACAUACACUGUAGCUGUUAUGUUAUUAUAAUGCUGUAUUUGUAUUACGUUAAUGUAUUUGUGGAUUCAUCAAUUCCUUUUCUUUUGAAAAUAAUGUAAUAUUAGUUAAAGGUUCGUUGUCAUUUAGAAAUUAAUUGAUGAAUCUACAUAUGUUUAUAUAGUAUUUCUGAUAAUUUUUUUCUUAAAUCCCUUAACAGUGUUUUAUGUGUUUUACCAUAUUGCAUACAAAUACUGAAUCUUUAUCUAUAAAGAACAUUUUGUUAAAGUUAAAACUGUUGUGGGAUUUAAAACAUAAAUGUUAAUGUACUAUUUUUAAUUUGCUUUUUGAAAUUACUUGGAAAUAAGUCAAUAAACAUGGAUAUAAAAUC